rnacentral:rRNA from 1 species
GUGGGGAAUAUUGGACAAUGGGCGCAAGCCUGAUCCAGCCAUGCCGCGUGAGUGAUGAAGGCCCUAGGGUUGUAAAGCUCUUUCAACGGUGAAGAUAAUGACGGUAACCGUAGAAGAAGCCCCGGCUAACUUCGUGCCAGCAGCCGCGGUAAUACGAAGGGGGCUAGCGUUGUUCGGAAUUACUGGGCGUAAAGCGCACGUAGGCGGAUCGAUCAGUUAGGGGUGAAAUCCCAGGGCUCAACCCUGGAACUGCCUCUAAUACUGUCGAUCUCGAGUUCGAGAGAGGUGAGUGGAAUUCCGAGUGUAGAGGUGAAAUUCGUAGAUAUUCGGAGGAACACCAGUGGCGAAGGCGGCUCACUGGCUCGAUACUGACGCUGAGGUGCGAAAGCGUGGGGAGCAAACAGG